CAAGAUAUUUCGGCAUGAGAAAACCGAUCAGAGAAUGACAACUUUCGCUGUUGAGGUUCGCCAUAAAUUGUUGAAAACUUUGACCAGCAUAUGUGCAUUAUUUAUUUGGGUAAGAUAUUGAACAUUUGUACUAUUUAAACGGCCCAAAAAUAGUAAACAGAACACACCCGUACCCGUUUGUCUUUUACGUGUAGACCAUGGUUUACCACGGGGAAACGGGUAGAAAUUACGGGUAAAAUUGCUGACAUCAGCAAAAAUUGGUAAACAAAAUGGCGAUACUCGUACCCGUAAACCGGAACCGGGGUAUCUUAACCUCUCUAUUUAUAGUAAUCGGGACGGGCAAGAUAUCAUUUGCAUACGGUUCAGUGCUAUGAUAGCUAUGUGAAAA